UCUCCGUUGGUGAACCAGCGGAGGGAUCAUUACAGAGUUGCAAAACUCCCAAACCAUUGUGAACGUUACCUAUCCCGUUGCUUCGGCGGGCGGCCCGGGCCCCGUGCCCGGCGCCACCCGGCCCCCCGUGGGCGCCCGCCGGAGGUAAACCAAACCCUUGAAUUGUAUAGCCUCGCUGAGUCUUUUGUUCUGAAUAAGUCAAAACUUUCAACAACGGAUCUCUUGGUUCUG
rnacentral:misc_RNA from 1 species